rnacentral:lncRNA from 1 species
CCUUUCCAGCUCGAUAACGGGACCUCAAGCCAAUACACGAACUUCUAAGCCAUCCCUUUCGUGCAAAUUCCUCACCUUCACCGUCAAUUUUCUCUGCAUCUUCAAUGAUCUUGUCAACGUCUUUCAGCCACCUUGCCACAACAGCUUCGAUCUCAUACCCUCUUCUUGUAGCCUCAUCAACAGAAUGUUGCACCCCGUCUCUCGCAUUUUUUAGUUUCUGGAGCUGCUUCUUGAGGCUUUGCAGAUUGCUUUUGUAGUUGAAGACAUAACCAAUCUGUCGUCCAACAGGAGCAACACAAUGGUCUAAAACUACAGAGGUAAAUGCAGUAACAAACUGCAGAGUUAUCUGCGCAGCCAUUUUCUCCUCUUCUUUUUACUGUUUCUUUGAACAACACCGUGAAGGAAAGGCCAAAAAGAAAUGAAAGGCAAACAGAACACCCAGAAAUACUAGUUACAGAACACUUCCGAAUUUGUUAAAAAAGAUUUGGAUUCAAAAUUCCAUAUCCAGAAAAAAAGGUUAUUGGUAGGAAGCAAUGAACAGAACUUGUUCAUGUGGCUCAAAUGAUCCAAACUUAUUGUGGUCAAUUCCCCAUUGCCAUGCCAAAAAACCACAUUAGAACAUAGAAAAGAAAAAGUCAGUUCCCUUUUUUAAAUCUGUUUAGUUGCACUCCGGAUUUCUGGGUCUCUCAAUUUCAUUUGAAGAAGUGAAAAAAAUUCCAAC